CAAACUCAUGCAUAUAAUUUCUUACUUGUGAUGUACAAGCCCAAACCUGCUUGAGCCCAUUCAGUAAUAAAAAACCAAAUAAAAUGAAAGUCCAAUAACAAGUAGUCCAAGUUACAAAUAAAAAACCAAAAUAAAACCGACCCAAAAUAAACAACUUAAGCCAAACCCAAUCCUUAGGCCAAAAAAAACCCCAACCCAAUUACAUCAAAAUUUCAGAAACCCCUAGGGUUUCUGGAACAGUCCAGGCGCCAUUCCUCCUUUGUACACACCAGCCCUACGCACGUCACACCAGGUCCACGUGCACCUCCACUCCAGCUGGCCUCUGUACACCUGCAACAAAUGCAAACGACAACAAAGAAACGAAGGGAAGAGGCCGUAAAAAUCGUAACAAUAACAGAAAGUACAGAUAAUAACAAAGAAAAAAUAAUAAGUUUUCUGUAAUUUUUAUUUUUUGAUAUUAUUUGGCUAUAUAAAGCCAUUGGAAAAUCUGUAAAAAGGGGAUUCAAAAAAAUCAAUAGAGGAGGACGAAUAGCAGUUUUUUAAGAGGUGAUUUGCUGAUUUCUAUUAUAUUCUCAUUUGAUUUAUUUUAUUUUAUUUUAUUUUUGAAUUAAAAGAAAAGGAGAAGGAUGUGCCUUCAUGGGUGCGCCAAUGAAGCCUUCAUCCCCUCUGUGCGAAUCGGAGCUGGAUGGACGGAGGCCUUGGAAUUAAAACGGUAGAGAACAGCGAGACUUGAGGCAGUGAUAGGUUUUUUUCUUCUGCGUUUUCAAAUGACAAAACAUUUGGAUUUAGGUUUUUUUUUUACUUUUAAAUCGU
rnacentral:lncRNA from 1 species